rnacentral:rRNA from 1 species
CGGACUAAGAGACCGGCGCACGGGUGCGUAACGCGUAUGCAAUCUACCUUUUACAGAGGGAUAGCCCAGAGAAAUUUGGAUUAAUACCUCAUAGCAUUGCAGAAUGGCAUCAUUCAGCAAUUAAAGUCACAACGGUAAAAGAUGAGCAUGCGUCCCAUUAGCUAGUUGGUAAGGUAACGGCUUACCAAGGCUACGAUGGGUAGGGGUCCUGAGAGGGAGAUCCCCCACACUGGUACUGAGACACGGACCAGACUCCUACGGGAGGCAGCAGUGAGGAAUAUUGGACAAUGGGCGCAAGCCUGAUCCAGCCAUGCCGCGUGCAGGAUGACGGUCCUAUGGAUUGUAAACUGCUUUUAUACGAGAAGAAACACUGCUUCGUGAAGCAGCUUGACGGUAUCGUAAGAAUAAGGAUCGGCUAACUUCGUGCCAGCAGCCGCGGUAAUACGGAGGAUCCAAGCGUUAUCCGGAAUCAUUGGGUUUAAAGGGUCCGUAGG